CGGCAGGGGGCCCGGCGGCAGGCGGCUGUCCGGCACUAGCGGGGCCCUGGGCUGGGGUGGGGGUCGCCCAAGAUGGCGGCGGGCGGCGCGGAGGGCGGCUCGGGCCCCGGCGCUGCAAUGGGGGAUUGUGCGGAGAUCAAGUCGCAGUUCCGCACCCGCGAGGGCUUCUACAAGCUGCUCCCCGGCGACGGCGCCGCUCGCAGGUCGGGUCCGGCUUCCUCCCAGACCCCGGCGCCACCCCAGCCGCCGCAGCAGCCCCUGCCCGGCCCUGCCUCCACCUCCGGCCCCGGUGCUGCGGGCGCCGCGCCGUCCCCUCCGCCCGCAGGCCCAGGGCCCGGGCCCGCGCUGCCUGCGGUGCGCCUCAGCCUCGUGCGCCUCGGGGAGCCCGACGGCGCCGGGGCCGGGGAGCCUCCCGCCACGCCCGCAGGGCUGGGCGCUGGGGGAGACCGCGUCUGCUUCAACUUGGGCCGCGAGCUCUAUUUCUACCCGGGCUGCUGUCGCCGCGGGAGCCAACGGUCCAUUGACCUCAACAAGCCAAUUGACAAGCGGAUCUAUAAGGGCACCCAGCCCACUUGCCACGACUUCAACCAGUUCACUGCUGCCACAGAGACCAUCUCCCUGCUGGUGGGAUUCUCAGCCGGUCAAGUGCAGUACCUGGAUCUCAUCAAGAAGGACACCAGCAAGCUAUUCAAUGAGGAGCGGCUUAUCGACAAGACCAAGGUGACAUAUCUGAAGUGGCUGCCUGAGUCAGAGAGCCUGUUCCUGGCAUCCCACGCCAGCGGCCACCUGUACCUGUACAACGUCAGCCACCCGUGCGCCUCGGCCCCACCGCAGUACAGCCUGCUGAAGCAGGGCGAGGGCUUCGCCGUCUACGCCGCCAAGAGCAAGGCGCCCCGCAACCCGCUGGCCAAGUGGGCGGUGGGCGAGGGGCCCCUCAACGAGUUCGCCUUCUCGCCCGACGGCCGGCACCUGGCCUGCGUCAGCCAGGACGGCUGCCUGCGCGUCUUCCACUUCGACUCCAUGCUGCUGCGCGGGCUCAUGAAGAGCUACUUCGGGGGCCUGCUCUGUGUGUGCUGGAGCCCCGACGGGCGCUACGUCGUGACAGGUGGUGAAGAUGACCUGGUCACCGUGUGGUCCUUCACCGAGGGCCGCGUGGUGGCCCGAGGCCACGGCCACAAGUCCUGGGUCAACGCCGUGGCCUUCGACCCCUACACCACGAGGGCCGAGGAGGCGGCUGCUGCCGGUGGCGACGGGGAGCGGAGUGGCGGGGAGGAGGAGGAGCCGGAGGCCGCGGGCACGGGCUCGGGCGGGGGCGCCCCCCUCUCCCCGCUGCCCAAGGCCGGCUCCAUCACCUACCGCUUCGGCUCGGCCGGCCAGGACACGCAGUUCUGCCUGUGGGACCUCACCGAAGACGUGCUCUACCCUCACCCUCCCCUGGCCCGCACCCGCACCCUCCCCGGCACGCCGGGCACCACGCCACCUGCCACCGGCAGCUCGCGAGGUGGUGAGCCAGGCCCCGGGCCCCUGCCCCGCUCACUGUCCCGGUCCAAUAGCCUCCCACACCCAGCGGGCAGCGGCAAGGCGGGCGGCCCGGGUGCGGCGGCGGAGCCGGGGACGCCCUUCAGCAUCGGCCGCUUUGCCACGCUCACGCUGCAGGAGCGGCGGGACCGGGGGGCCGAGAAAGAGCACAAGCGCUACCACAGCCUGGGCAACAUCAGCCGGGGCGGCAGUGGGGGCGGGGGCGGCGGGGACAAGCCCAGCGGCCCCGCCCCCCGAAGCCGGCUGGACCCCGCCAAGGUGCUGGGCACCGCGCUGUGCCCGCGCAUCCACGAGGUGCCGCUGCUCGAGCCGCUCGUGUGCAAGAAGAUCGCCCAGGAGCGGCUCACGGUCCUCCUCUUCCUGGAGGACUGCAUCAUCACCGCCUGCCAGGAGGGCCUCAUCUGCACCUGGGCCCGGCCGGGCAAGGUGUUCACAGACGAGGAGACCGAGACCCAGACAGGGGAAGGAAGUUGGCCCAGGUCACCCAGCAAGUCAGUGGUAGAGGUAGGACUGUCCCUAAGUUCUUCCCUCCCAGAAUCUUAGGACCCCCUCCGCAGUCAGAAGGGGACCCCAGUUUCCCCCUCUCCUCCCUACCUCCACCCCUACCCCAUCCUCUUUGCUCAGGAUCACCUGAGGACUUUAAUUGUGUAAGAGUGCCACCUGCUGGGAUAGGGAAGCUAGCUGAGAUGGCAUCUCCUCCCAACCAGGCAACUCCCCGAGCGGCACAGUAGUGUGAAGCCAUGGAUGUCGGGGUCCCCCACCCCAUGCCCCCAGCUCCUAGCAUAACCGUCCCCGCUGACCUCAUGGAUCAACGUAUUAACAAGACUAACCGUGACGGAUGGACUGCUCCGGUCCCUCUCCCUGCUCAAAUUUGGGGCAGAGGGUCCCUCAGACUGACCCAGACACUGGGGGGAUGUAGUGGCCCGUGUGGCCUCAGCCUUGUCCCCACCCACUGCCAAGUACAAUGACCCCUUCCUCUGAAACAUCAGUGUUAGCCUCAUCCCUGUCCCCAGCAUGUGACUGGUCACUCCUGGGGGAGAAACUCCCCACCCACAAGAGCCCCAGCUCUGCAGUGCACCUCUCGGUCCUGUGUGCAGGGCAGGGGGUGGCCCAUCCCUCCCCUGGCCCCCGCCCUGCCCUUGCUGUUACUUGUGCUUUUGAAGAAUGUUAAAUUAUGGAAGCCCCUGGGGUCCUCGCUGUCCCCCAGGACCUCUUAUUUAUACUAAAGUUCCCUGUUUUCA